AUAAUACUCCAUAGAUAGGAAACACUGGAAUGUUCUUCGAACGAAAGAUCCGUCGCUUCAGGAUGAAUCUGCGGCCGAUUAGGUAGUUGUUGGGGUAACGGCCCAACAAGCCUGUAAUCGAUACGGGUUGUGGGAGCAAGAGCCCGGAGAUGGAAUCUGAGACACGAAUCCAGGCCCUACGGGGCGCAGCAGGCGCGAAAACUUUACCAUGCGGGCAACCGUGAUAAGGAAACUCCGAGUGCCAGCACAGGCGGGCUGUCCAGCAGUUUAAACAUCAUGCGAAGAAAGGGCCGGGCAAGACCGGUGCCAGCCGCCGCGGUAAUACCGGCGGCUCGAGUGGUGGCCAGCUAUUACUGGGCUUAAAGGUCCCGUAGCUGUGGAUCAUAGAGUCUCCUUGAGAAAUCCGCCGGUCUAACCGGCGGGCGUUCAGGGGAUACUUGUAUUCUAGGGACCGGGAGAGGUGAGAGGUACUCCCGGGGUAGGAGUGAAAUCCUGUAAUCCCGGUGGGACCACCUAUGGCGAAGGCAUCUCACCAGAACGGGUCCGACAGUGAGGGACGAAAGCUGGGGGAGCGAACCGGAUUAGAUACCCGGGUAGUCCCAGCUGUAAACUAUGCGCGUUAGGUGU
rnacentral:rRNA from 1 species